rnacentral:rRNA from 1 species
GGCUAACUACGGCAUAGCAGGACGAGUAUUACUGAGGUGGCUAGGGGUAAGCUGAAGGAGUGGGCGUAAGGGGUGCUGCGGUGGGUCUGUAAGACAGCUGUGAGAGCCCCGGGCGUAACCAAGGAACGGCGUUUGAAGCGACAGGGUUAGAGGGUGUCGGGGGAGGUGGAAUUCCAUGUGUAGCAGUGAAAUGCGUAGAGAGUUGGAAGAACAUCGAGGGCGAAGGCAGCCCCCUGGGCCUACACUGUCGCUCAGGCACGAAAGCAUGGGGAGCGAACAGGAUUAGAUACCCCGGUAGUC